rnacentral:rRNA from 1 species
AUUGAACGCUGGCGGCAGGCCUAACACAUGCAAGUCGAGCGGAUGAAGGGAGCUUGCUCCUGGAUUCAGCGGCGGACGGGUGAGUAAUGCCUAGGAAUCUGCCUGGUAGUGGGGUAUAACGUCCGGAAACGGGCGCUAAUACCGCAUACGUCCUGAGGGAGAAAGUGGGGGAUCUUCGGACCUCACGCUAUCAGAUGAGCCUAGGUCGGGUUAGCUAGUUGGUGGGGUAAAGGCCUACCAAGGCGACGAUCCGUAACUGGUCUGAGAGGAUGAUCAGUCACACUGGAACUGAGACACGGUCCAGACUCCUACGGGAGGCAGCAGUGGGGAAUAUUGGACAAUGGGCGAAAGCCUGAUCCAGCCAUGCCGCGUGUGUGAAGAAGGUCUUCGGAUUGUAAAGCACUUUAAGUUGGGAGGAAGGGCAGUAAGUUAAUACCUUGCUGUUUUGACGUUACCAACAGAAUAAGCACCGGCUAACUUCGUG